rnacentral:lncRNA from 1 species
UGUAGGUGUGAAUGGCCAGCACAGAACACUCAGUUGACUCUCUUUGGUUUUGGUUUCAGGGUGUGUGUGUGUGUGUGUUUUAAUGGUGCUGGGGUUGUGUUCUACCAUUGAGCUACCUCCCCAGCCAACAGCGAACUAGCUUAACAGCUUUGUUUGUCCUAUAGGGUUUGGGAUGUGUGCCAGGGUCACCUGACAGACAAAAUGGCAUUUCAGCCAAGAUGGCUGUAGUCAUGUCAGCUGGAGCCCCAUACCAGGCCACCUUGCAAGGUAGUGAGACAGCUGGAUCUGAUCCCAAAUCCCAGGCCAGAGAUUG